GGUGGGGUAAAGGCCUACCAAGGCGACGAUCCAUAGCUGGUCUGAGAGGAUGAUCAGCCACAUUGGGACUGAGACACGGCCCAAACUCCUACGGGAGGCAGCAGUGGGGAAUAUUGGACAAUGGGCGCAAGCCUGAUCCAGCCAUGCCGCGUGAGUGAUGAAGGCCUUAGGGUUGUAAAGCUCUUUCAACGGUGAAGAUAAUGACGGUAACCGUAGAAGAAGCCCCGGCUAACUUUCGUGCCA
rnacentral:rRNA from 1 species